rnacentral:rRNA from 1 species
UACGUAGGGAGCAAGCGUUGUCCGGAAUCAUUGGGCGUAAAGCGCGCGUAGGUGGCUUCGUAAGUCCGCUGUGAAAGUCAAAGGCUCAACCUUUGAAAGCCGGUGGAUACUGCGGAGCUAGAGUCCGGAAGAGGCGAGUGGAAUUCCUGGUGUAGCGGUGGAAUGCGCAGAUAUCAGGAGGAACACCAAUAGCGAAGGCAGCUCGCUGGGACGGUACUGACACUGAGGCGCGAAAGCGUGGGGAGCAAACAGG